AUUGAACGCUGGCGGCAGGCCUAACACAUGCAAGUCGAACGAGCGGCGGACGGGUGAGUAAUGUAUGGGGAUCUGCCCGAUCGAGGGGGAUAACUACUGGAAACGGUGGCUAAUACCGUAUACUAUCGGAUGAACCCAUAUGGGAUUAGCUAGUAGGUGGGGUAAAGGCUCACCUAGGCGACGAUCUCUAGCUGGUCUGAGAGGAUGAUCAGCCACACUGGGACUGAGACACGGUCCAGACUCCUACGGGAGGCAGCAGUGGGGAAUAUUGCACAAUGGGGGAAAGCCUGAUGCAGCCAUGCCGCGUGUAUGAAGAAGGACUUAGGGGUGUAAAGUACUUUCAGCCGGGAGGCGUUACCCGCAGAAGAAGCACCGGCUAACUCCGUGCCAGCAGCCGCGGUAAUAC
rnacentral:rRNA from 1 species